rnacentral:rRNA from 1 species
GACGAACGCUGGCGGCGUGCUUAACACAUGCAAGUCGAACGGAAAGGCCCUGCUUUUGUGGGGUGCUCGAGUGGCGAACGGGUGAGUAACACGUGAGUAACCUGCCCUUGACUUUGGGAUAACUUCAGGAAACUGGGGCUAAUACCGGAUAGGAGCUCCUGCUGCAUGGUGGGGGUUGGAAAGUUUCGGCGGUUGGGGAUGGACUCGCGGCUUAUCAGCUUGUUGGUGGGGUAGUGGCUUACCAAGGCUUUGACGGGUAGCCGGCCUGAGAGGGUGACCGGCCACAUUGGGACUGAGAUACGGCCCAGACUCCUACGGGAGGCAGCAGUGGGGAAUAUUGCACAAUGGGCGGAAGCCUGAUGCAGCAACGCCGCGUGCGGGAUGACGGCCUUCGGGUUGUAAACCGCUUUCGCCUGUGACGAAGCGUGAGUGACGGUAAUGGGUAAAGAAGCACCGGCUAACUACGUGCCAGCAGCCGCGGUGAUACGUAGGGUGCGAGCGUUGUCCGGAUUUAUUGGGCGUAAAGGGCUCGUAGGUGGUUGAUCGCGUCGGAAGUGUAAUCUUGGGGCUUAACCCUGAGCGUGCUUUCGAUACGGGUUGACUUGAGGAAGGUAGGGGAGAAUGGAAUUCCUGGUGGAGCGGUGGAAUGCGCAGAUAUCAGGAGGAACACCAGUGGCGAAGGCGGUUCUCUGGGCCUUUCCUGACGCUGAGGAGCGAAAGCGUGGGGAGCGAACAGGCUUAGAUACCCUGGUAGUCCACGCUGUAAACGGUGGGUACUAGGUGUGGGGUCCAUUCCACGGGUUCCGUGCCGUAGCUAACGCUUUAAGUACCCCGCCUGGGGAGUACGGCCGCAAGGCUAAAACUCAAAGGAAUUGACGGGGCCCCGCACAAGCGGCGGAGCAUGCGGAUUAAUUCGAUGCAACGCGUAGAACCUUACCUGGGUUUGACAUGGAUCGAGAGUGCUCAGAGAUGGGUGUGCCUCUUUUGGGGUCGGUUCACAGGUGGUGCAUGGCUGUCGUCAGCUCGUGUCGUGAGAUGUUGGGUUAAGUCCCGCAACGAGCGCAACCCUUGUUCACUGUUGCCAGCACGUUAUGGUGGGGACUCAGUGGAGACCGCCGGGGUCAACUCGGAGGAAGGUGGGGAUGACGUCAAGUCAUCAUGCCCCUUAUGUCCAGGGCUUCACGCAUGCUACAAUGGCUGGUACAGAGAGUGGCGAGCCUGUGAGGGUGAGCGAAUCUCGGAAAGCCGGUCUCAGUUCGGAUUGGGGUCUGCAACUCGACCUCAUGAAGUCGGAGUCGCUAGUAAUCCCAGAUCAGCAACGCUGCGGUGAAUACGUUCCCGGGGCUUGUACACACCGCCCGUCAAGUCAUGAAAGUUGGUAACACCCGAAGCCGGUGGCCUAACCGUUGUGGGGGAGCCGUCGAAGGUGGGACUGGUGAUUAGGACU